rnacentral:rRNA from 1 species
GAUGAACGCUAGCGGCAGGCCUAACACAUGCAAGUCGAGGGAGAAGCCCUUUCGGGGGCAGAAACCGGCGCACGGGUGCGUAACGCGUAUGCAACCUACCUUUCACAGGGGGAUAGCCCGAAGAAAUUUGGAUUAAUACCCCAUAAUAUUAUUGGAUGGCAUCAUUUGAUAAUUAAAGCUACGACGGUGAAAGAUGGGCAUGCGUCCUAUUAGCUAGUUGGAGUGGUAACGGCACCCCAAGGCUACGAUAGGUAGGGGUCCUGAGAGGGAGAUCCCCCACACUGGUACUGAGACAGGGACCAGACUCCUACGGGAGGCAGCAGUGAGGAAUAUUGGUCAAUGGUCGGAAGACUGAACCAGCCAUGCCGCGUGCAGGAAGAAUGCCUUAUGGGUUGUAAACUGCUUUUAUAUGGGAAGAAUAAGGCGUACGUGCACGUNGANGACGNUNCCA